rnacentral:SRP_RNA from 1 species
GCCGCAUGGCAAUGGUGGGCGUAUGAACCGUGUCAGGUCCGGAAGGAAGCAGCACUAAGUACUGUUCCAUCAUGUGUCAUGUGUACAU